GGAGAGGUGUCCGAGUUGGCUUAAGGAGCACGGUUGGAAACCGUGUGUGCGUUAACGCGUACCGUGGGUUCGAAUCCCACUCUCUCCGCCA
rnacentral:tRNA from 1 species